UACGUAGGGUGCGAGCGUUGUCCGGAAUUAUUGGGCGUAAAGAGCUCGUAGGCGGUGUGUCGCGUCGGUCGUGAAAACUUGGGGCUUAACCCUGAGCUUGCGGUCGAUACGGGCAUCACUGGAGUUCGGCAGGGGAGACUGGAAUUCCUGGUGUAGCGGUGAAAUGCGCAGAUAUCAGGAAGAACACCAAUGGCGAAGGCAGCUCUCUGGGACGGUACUGACGCUGAGACGCGAAAGCGUGGGGAGCGAACAGG
rnacentral:rRNA from 1 species